CAAACAUGGUCAACCAUCUGUAGUUGCUGCUGCACAUGAUCCUGAAGAAGAAGCACCAACACAAGAAUCAAGAGACAAAACGCUAAAAAAGCUCUGUUAUAUCAAACUAGAAAAUGACAUAAAACAAAAAUGAACAGGAUACCACAUCACCAACGAUGUCAAAAAGUUCAAUCCAAUAUUAUAACUGCAAUUACAUAACCAUCAGAGUCACAAAGUAACAAAAUUGGUAGCAAAUAAAGUAAAAGGUAACAAGUUGUUAACUCACAGAAAUAUAGUAUUAGCAACAGAAAAAUCUCAUGUUCAUGUCAGAUAACACAUUUAUCAAAUCUGCAGAAUGGCCUUGAUCAUGAAAUACAACUUGAGAAUUAUAUAAACUGGUAAUGGAUGUGGAAAAAGAUAUUAUUGAAAAACACAAGGAAUUUCUUAAACAAAUUGCAUGAAAAAAAACAAAAGAGUAAGAUAACAGUCUUGCCAUUAAAUAUUGAACAUUUUACUAGAUACAAAGUCCAUGACAAGCCAUUCGAACUAAAGUUCUACAUCUUUCGAUCAUGUUCGCCAGAUCUUAAAAAAGCACAUAUGAAGUCUUCUACUUAUGGAUCAAGUGAAUGCAAUUAGGGGCAUCCACAGGUUUGGUUCGUAUAGAGUUUGGCCCU
rnacentral:lncRNA from 1 species